UACGAGGGGGGCAAAUGUUGUUCGGAAUCACUGGGCGUAAAGGGAGCGUAGGCGGGCUUUUAAGUUAGGUGUUUAAUCCCGGGGCCCAACCCCGGACAGGCACUUAAAACUGGGAGUCUUGAAUAGGGGAGAGGCCAGCGGAAUUGGGGGUGUAGCGGUGGAAUGCGUAGAGAUGGGGGAGAACACUCGUGGCGAAGGCGGCCAGCUAGACCAGUUCUGACACUGAGGCGCGACAGCGUGGGGAGCAAACAGG
rnacentral:rRNA from 1 species